rnacentral:rRNA from 1 species
GACGAACGCUGGCGGCGUGCUUAACACAUGCAAGUCGAACGGAAAGGCCCUGCUUUUGUGGGUUGCUCGAUUGGGGAACGGGUGAGUAACACGUGAGUAUCCUGCCCCUGUCUUUGGGAUAACUUUUGGAAACUGGGGCUAAUAUCGGAUAGGAGCUCUUGCUGCAUGUUGGUGGUUGGAAAGUGUCGGCGGUAGGGGCUGGACUCGCUGCGUAUCAGCUUGUUUGUGGGGUAGUGGCUUACGAAGGCUUUGACGGGUAGCCGACCUGAGAGGGUGACCGGCCACAAGAGGCCUGCGGUACGGACCAGUAUCGAACGGGACGCAACAGUGGAAAGCCUUACACAACAGGGCGAAGCGUGAUACGACAGCGCCGCGUUCGGAAUGACGGCCUAUGGGUUGUGAACAGAUUUCGACUGAGCCAAGGAGUGAGUGACGGUAAUGGGUAAAAAAGCACCGGCUAACUACGUG